UUUAGGCAAGUGCUGGGAUUGAUUCCUAGAGGAAAGUCCAUGCUCACACAUUCUGUGAUGAAUGUAGUGUUUGUGCUUAAGGAAAAAAUAACUUAAGGUAGUGUUUUUGCACUAACGGCGAUUUGUUUUACCUAAAGAUUUAUCCAUGGUAAGAUAUAUAAAGUGCCACAGAGACGAGCAUCUGGGAAACUAGAUGAGUGAAACGCGGUAAACCCCACAAGUGAGAAACCCAAAUUAUGGUAGGGGAGCUUUAAAGGAAGAAAAAGAAUUCUUUUAAGGACUAGAAAUAGUAGAUAAAUACUUGCCACCUAGAAAUAGGAACAGAACAUGGCUUAUU
rnacentral:RNase_P_RNA from 1 species